rnacentral:miRNA from 1 species
AUAUGUCUUGAAUCUAUGUAUGUGUGCAUAUGCAUAUGUUUGCAUGCGUGCAUAUAUAAAUGUAUGAUAUACAUAU